CCCAACUUGAAAAUCUCCCUUUGGAGAAUUGUAGUCUAGAGAAGCGCCCUCUGCGGCGGCCGGAGCCUAAGUCCGUUGGAAAACGGCGUCAGAGAGGGUGAGAACCCCGUCGGCUCUAGGCUUAGCUGCUCCACGAGGUGCUUUCCACGAGUCGGGUUGUUUGGGAAUGCAGCCCAAAAUGGGAGGUACAUCCCUUCUAAGGCUAAAUACUGGCGAGAGACCGAUAGCGAACAAGUACCGUGAGGGAAAGAUGAAAAGAACUUUGAAAAGAGAGUUAAAAAGUGCUUGAAAUUGUUGAGAGGGAAGCGUUUGGAGGUUAUAGGUGCGCCUAGGCUUAUACGGUUCUAACGAGCCGUUGUAUGUGCUAGGUGCUGGUCAACAUGGGUUAGCUUGGCGGGAUAACAGCGGGGAUUGAUACCCCGUCUAUGCCGCCGGGUUGAUCAAGGUGUGAAUGGCGCUUUGUCCCUCGGGAACUGC
rnacentral:rRNA from 1 species